UACGUAGGUGACCAGCGUUGUCCGGAUUUACUGGGCGUAAAGAGCGCGCAGGCGGUCGUUCAAGUCGAGUGUGAAAGCCCCCGGCUCAACUGGGGAGGGUCACUCGAUACUGAUCGACUUGAAGGCAGGAGAGGGAAGCGGAAUUCCCGGUGUAGUGGUGAAAUGCGUAGAUAUCCGGAGGAACACCGGUGGCGAAGGCGGCUUCCUGGACCGACACUGACGCUGAGGCGCGAAAGCUAGGGGAGCAAACGGG
rnacentral:rRNA from 1 species